rnacentral:lncRNA from 1 species
CAGCCCCGUGCCUGGAGGGGAUCCGCCAUCUCAGAUCUCGGCCUUGCCAGGGCCCACCAGAGAAAACUAACGCUCUGGUCCUGUCAUACCUAUGGGGGACCAACCUUGUGCCUCCGGGAGAUCCACGCUCCCACCAGGAAAUACGCGGGAACCCAAGCCUCCAAAAAAGCGCUGUGUCCUGGCUCCGCGGUGGGAUUAUCCCGAAGGGACUCCCAGUGGAGGUAGUAGCACUCUCCCCUCGGCGCCUCCUCCUGCAUCUGCUGGACUCAAGUCGCACCCUCCUCCUCCGGAGAAGUAGUGAAAUAGAUUUUUUUCCCAGCCGAAAUCAGUUUGUGAGGGACUGCAGUAUGGCUUCAUUUCCUUGGUGCGUUUGUAAAAUAGUUCACCCAUUGAAGACCAUGAAGGUUCUUUCCAAUGCUGCCCUGCUUUUGCUGGUGUCUUGCUCCUGGAAGUUGUGAUGCUAAAGGUA